UGGUAGUCCCCAGGAAAAGCACUUUUCUGAACUCCCUAGCUGAGGAAUGGAGAUUUAGUACUCAGCAAAUGCAAACUAAUUUCCACAAAAUGUCAAACAAGGAGAUGAUCUCUCUCCCCAAAGGGCUGCUUCUGAAAUAUAAAACAAGAGGCAGAGCCUAAAUAUAUGAGUAGGCAGGGGAAGAAGCACACAGUUCAGCAUGGCGAGCUGUGGUCUGAGCACAUCAGCAAGCUGCCGGGCAGCCAGACCUUCGCUUUAGCUUCCCCAUCUGCAUAUGUGCAAGUCCUUAAUUACAUCACCACCACACAGUCUUCUUGUCUCACCCUGAUGGUUUCAGUGCAGCUUGGAUAACCACUUAGCAUCCCCUUUCUGCUGCCCUUCCUCGCCAGAACUAGCUUGCUGCAGUCUCUUCUGAAACAGGAAUUUUGGGCUUUGCUAUGGCUAUUGCUGUGACACCGGGGGGCUGCACAGGCAGCAGUGGAACCACCUUCAGAGCACGUCAUGGGAUGGAGGAAUAUUGUUCUGCUGCUCAAUGUGGGAGCAUCUGCAGCUCCUCCACUCUGCUGCUCUUUUACUUUUGGAGGAGCAAUUCCUUCUUCAUGGCUGAGGACAUCAGGAGUGAGUGUGCUGGGCGCUGGGGAGGGCUGCUGCAGUGACAGGGAUUAGAGGAUGAACUCGGUGCCAGGGCUCCUGCCUUGACCCCUGGCCACCGCACGAGACUCUGAGUGAGCAGCCACCAUGGACUUCUGGUGCACGUGAACUGAAGCACUCGUCUCCAAGGCCUGGGGAAGGUGGCUAAGCCUGGGCACGCUUUCUGUUCCUCAGCGUGUGUGGUUUAUCCCAGCAGACGUGAGCAAGCUUCUGAGCGAAAAGGUGAGUCUGAAUAUGACAGCACUGAAAGAAAGCCUAAAUAGAGAAAAGUUCUCCCUUUUACCCCCUCUAAAAUUCAUAAGAAAAGUGCUCAAAGCAAUUCAUUGUUGUCUAGCUUGCUGUGUUGUUAGGAGGCUGCGUACCACCCUGGGGUCCCUCUUAUUUCUAGUCUGUAUGUCACAGAA